rnacentral:rRNA from 1 species
GAUGAACGCUGGCGGCGUGCCUAAUACAUGCAAGUCGAGCGAACAGACGAGGAGCUUGCUCCUCUGACGUUAGCGGCGGACGGGUGAGUAACACGUGGAUAACCUACCUAUAAGACUGGGAUAACUUCGGGAAACCGGAGCUAAUACCGGAUAAUAUAUUGAACCGCAUGGUUCAAUAGUGAAAGACGGUUUUGCUGUCACUUAUAGAUGGAUCCGCGCCGCAUUAGCUAGUUGGUAAGGUAACGGCUUACCAAGGCAACGAUGCGUAGCCGACCUGAGAGGGUGAUCGGCCACACUGGAACUGAGACACGGUCCAGACUCCUACGGGAGGCAGCAGUAGGGAAUCUUCCGCAAAGGGCGAAAGCCUGACGGAGCAACGCCGCGUGAGUGAUGAAGGUCUUCGGAUCGUAAAACUCUGUUAUUAGGGAAGAACAAAUGUGUAAGUAACUAUGCACGUCUUGACGCUACCUAAUCAGAAAGCCACGGCUAACUACGUG